rnacentral:snRNA from 1 species
AGCAGAAUUCACCAAGUGUUGGA